UAGCGAAGGGGGCUAGCGUUGUUCGGAAUUACUGGGCGUAAAGCGCACGUAGGCGGAUAUUUAAGUCAGGGGUGAAAUCCCAGAGCUCAACUCUGGAACUGCCUUUGAUACUGGGUAUCUCGAGUAUGGAAGAGGUGAGUGGAAUUCCGAGUGUAGAGGUGAAAUUCGUAGAUAUUCGGAGGAACACCAGUGGCGAAGGCGGCUCACUGGCUCGGUACUGACGCUGAGGUGCGAAAGCGUGGGGAGCAAACAGG
rnacentral:rRNA from 1 species